GAACUAAGCUGAGUGCAAAACUUCACCAGUAGUCACUGAGAACAAUAAGUGAAUCUGUUGAUGUUAGUUUCUGACACUUUCCAUCUGUUCAGGGCCUUUUUUUUGCUGCAUUUUACUGUUGGCAAUACAGGAGUUUACGUUAGUUAAACUUGAUAUCAAAAACUGUGGAUGAGAGAAAUCUGCUAAGUCGCUAAAAAUAAAAUCAAUGUUUAUACUGUGUGUAAAUGAUGAUGUUUUAGAAAGGAAAGGACCAGAGAACAGAAAGUACCUGAAGUUCCCCUCGUGGACCCGCUCACAAUCAGGCAGCCUGAUGUGGCAAGAAGGCAGGAGUACCAUCAACAGGCUCACAAAGGGAUGGAUGGAUGGAUCCUGAGCAGCAUCAGCAUCACAGAGGGCCCACGAGGGCCACGACCCUGCCGUUAAACAGCUGUGCCUGCCUCCAUGAUCUGUUGUCUUACUCGCUCCAGUGGACUCUUCCAUCGAUGCUCUGCAUCUCGCCCAGCAUGGCCAGUAGCAGGGAAGAUUUCCCACAAC